rnacentral:rRNA from 1 species
UACGUAGGGUGCAAGCGUUAAUCGGAAUUACUGGCGUAAGCGUGACGCAGGCGGUGAUGUAAGACAGGUGUGAAAUCCCCGGGCUUAACCUGGGAACUGCAUUUGUGACUGCAUCGCUGGAGUGCGGCAGAGGGGGGUAGAAUUCCACGUGUAGCAGUGAAAUGCGUAGAGAUGUGGAGGAAUACCGACGGCGAAGGCAGCCCCCUGGGCCCAAUACUGACGCUCAUGCACGAAAGCGUGGGGAGCAAACGAGGAUUAGAGUACC